GUCUACGACCAUACCACCCGGAAAACACCGGUUCUCGUCUGAUCACCGAAGUUAAGCCUGGUCGGGCGAAGUUAGUACUUGGAUGGGUGACCGCCUGGGAAUACUUCGUGUUAGACU
rnacentral:rRNA from 1 species